UGUUCUGUGGCUUAGUUGGUUAAAGCGCCGGUCUUGCGAAUACGGAAUCGUGGGUUCGAAUCCCAUCAGAACGC
rnacentral:tRNA from 1 species